UUACCUCCGGCGAGUUCCUCCGGCAAGAUCGGCGGCGAACAACCCAAGUUUCUCACGGAUCCCUUUUUUUUUCUUUCUUUUUUCUUUUGAACGGCACCCGGUUGAUGCCCUAGAAUGAGGAGAAAGGGAUCUUUUAUAGAUAGAGAUUGAUGCAAAUUAGGUAGGAUUUGAUCUCCCUUUUCCUCUGUGCUUUUUUUUCCUCUCUUCCGAUGGAUUCGGGAAGCAAUUGAAACAGGGGAGGGAAGACUCUGUUCGGGAGUCUCCCUCCCGUUUCAUGUGUCAGGCCG
rnacentral:lncRNA from 1 species